UACAGGGGGGGCAAGCGUUGUUCGGAAUUACUGGGCGUAAAGGGUUCGUAGGUGGCCAACUAAGUCAGACGUGAAAUCCCUCAGCUUAACUGGGGAACUGCGUCUGAUACUGGUUGGCUUGAGUGCAGGAGAGGAAUGCGGAAUUCCAGGUGUAGCGGUGAGAUGCGUAGAUAUCUGGAGGAACACCGGUGGCGAAGGCGGCAUUCUGGACUGUAACUGACACUGAGGAACGAAAGCCAGGGGAGCAAACGGG
rnacentral:rRNA from 1 species